UUGAGGAUUUUUGAAUUCUCCCGUGGUUCUGAGAAUCGAACAAUAGUGCAAAGAAAAAAUAUCUUUAAAUCUAGAAAAAGUCUUCAAAAUCUUGGUAUUGUUAAGUGAAUACGUUAUAGCAACAUUAAAGAUAUUGCUGAUCCUGCCUCUUAACUUGGUUUUAUUUAUAUAUUUGCCUUCAUUUCUUUUUGCAAACUGAAGACACUGUUGAAGGUAACAGCUCCUAAAAAGUUAUACAUUGUAUCAUUUAAGAAUUCAAACAACACAAGCCUCGGGCAGAUAUAACUAAACAUGAGCUUGCAUCUCCUUGAUGGCAGUUAUUAUGUAAGUAGAGCAUUUAAUUAAGUAGAAGGGAAAAAUUAUGCAAAGGAAAGUUUAAGAAAGGAGCUAAACAUACAUUAAUUGUCUUUUGGUAUUAAAUGUCAGCUGAUUCAAUGCUCAUCAUACCCCUAAAACGUUAUUUCCUCCAUUUUUUAGAGAUGAAGAAUAUGAGAGAAGAGUUAAAGGAACAAUAGCAGAUGAGACUGCACUGAAGUUCUCACUCAAGUCUGCUGUCUUCCAGACCAGGGUGAGGCCAGAAGGUUACAUUUCAAGGAUUCCAGCAGUCGGAGUCUCAGGAGGUCAAAGCCGAACAGGGAGCAAUGGUACUGCCUCGGGUGGAAGAGAGAAAAUACCUCUGGGAGGAGCUCACCACGCACGCACAGUCCAAACACUGAGAGCAGACGGGAGCCACGUCACAGCGAUGCUCAGAAGGUGCGGGAGCCGAAGGGCUGCCUGGUGCAGUUGAAAGGAUAAACAAAGAAGGUGAGGUUGAAAUUUAAUUAUUCAUAAACCUUGGGGAGAAUUUCUAAGAGUCAUAAAGAACAUUCACGCACAAACUCAUGGCGCGAAUAUAGGUCACUCAGUAAUUCCUGCAGAGAUAGGGAGAGCCAUUAGUUCUGGAAGUGUGUACCCCAGAUUCAUAGGUCGAAGCACCCCAGAAUGGGAAAGUAUUUUGCAAUACA
rnacentral:lncRNA from 1 species